rnacentral:rRNA from 1 species
AUUGAACGCUGCGGCAGGCCUAACACAUGCAAGUCGAGCGAGCGGCGGACGGGUGAGUAAUGCUUAGGAAUCUGCCUAUUAGUGGGGGACAGCACCUCGAAAGGGAUGCUAAUACCGCAUACUAUUAGAUGAGCCUUAGUCGGUUUUGCUAGUUGGUGGGGUAAGGGCGUACCAAGGCGACGAUUUGUAGCGGGUCUGAGAGGAUGAUCCGCCAAACUGGGACUGAGACAAGGCCCAGACUCCUACGGGAGGCAGCAGUGGGGAAUAUUGGACAAUGGGGGGAACCCUGAUCCAGCCAUGUCGCGUGUGGGAAGAAGGCCUUAUGGUUGUAAAGCACUUUAAGAGAGGAGGCGUUACUCGAAGAAUAAGCACCGGCUAACUCUGUGCCAGCAGCCGCGGUAAUAC